UCGGGAAUUUUGGGCAAUGGGGGAAACCCUGACCCAGCAACGCCGCGUGAAGGAUGAAGUAUUUCGGUAUGUAAACUUCGAAAGAAUAGGAAGAAUAAAUGACGGUACUAUUUAUAAGGUCCGGCUAACUACGUGCCAGCAGCCGCGGUAAUACGUAGGGACCAAGCGUUGUUCGGAUUUACUGGGCGUAAAGGGCGCGUAGGCGGCAUGACAAGUCAUCUGUGAAAUCUCCGGGCUUAACUCGGAACGGUCAGAUGAUACUGCUUUGCUAGAGUGCAGAAGGGGCAAUCGGAAUUCUUGGUGUAGCGGUGAAAUGCGUAGAUAUCAAGAGGAACACCUGAGGUGAAGACGGGUUGCUGGGCUGACACUGACGCUGAGGCGCGAAAGCCAGGGGAGCAAACGGGAUUAGAUACCCAAGUAGUCCCUGAGCGGGCUGGCAAGGCGCAU
rnacentral:rRNA from 1 species